CCGAGUUAUCAACUCCCAAACCCCUGUGAACAUACCUUUUGUUGCCUCGGCGGGAUCGCCCCGGCGCCUUCGGGCCCGGACCCAGGCGCCCGCCGCAGGACCCUAAACUCUUGUUUUCUAUAUGAAUCUUCUGAGUGACACAAGCAAAUAAAUUA
rnacentral:misc_RNA from 1 species